rnacentral:rRNA from 1 species
UACGAAGGGGGCUAGCGUUGCUCGGAAUUACUGGGCGUAAAGGGCGCGUAGGCGGCCUGGCAAGUCGGGGGUGAAAGCCUGUGGCUCAACCACAGAAUGGCCUUCGAUACUGCCGGGCUUGAGACCGGAAGAGGUCAGUGGAACUGCGAGUGUAGAGGUGAAAUUCGUAGAUAUCAAGCGGAACACCGGUGGCGAAGGCGGCCUUCUGGACAGUGACUGACGCUCAUGCACGAAAGCGUGGGGAGCAAACAGG